UAGGGAAUCUUCCGCUAUGGACGAAAGUCUGACGGAGCGACGCCGCGUGAGCGAAGAAGGUCUUCGGAUCGUAAAGCUCUGUUGUUAGGGAAGAAGAAGUGCCGUUCGAACAGGGCGGCACGGUGACGGUACCUAACGAGAAAGCCCCGGCUAACUACGUGCCAGCAGCCGCGGUAAUACGUAGGGGGCGAGCGUUGUCCGGAAUUAUUGGGCGUAAAGCGCGCGCAGGCGGUCCCUUAAGUCUGAUGUGAAAGCCCACGGCUUAACCGUGGAGGGUCAUUGGAAACUGGGGGACUUGAGUGCAGAAGAGGAGAGCGGAAUUCCACGUGUAGCGGUGAAAUGCGUAGAGAUGUGGAGGAACACCAGUGGCGAAGGCGGCUCUCUGGUCUGUAACUGACGCUGAGGCGCGAAAGCGUGGGGAGCAAACAGG
rnacentral:rRNA from 1 species